GGAUGUACGAAGAAAACCUUUGGAAAUGACCCCUUUUUCUUUUGCAAAUGACAAAAGGAAACAUUCCUUUGAGGUCCUCGGUAAUUCAGAAGCCACUUGGGUGGUAUGUGCGCUUUAAAAAAGAAUGAGACAUCUGGCGCGGAUUUCUCUUGAUUACUAUGUUCUAUCUAAAUUUCUUGCUUUCCAUUCUGUUUCUAAUGCUCUCCACAAGGAGCAGGGUCACGAGGAAUAAUUGGAAGCAUGGGUUUCGGGAUGAGAUGGGGGUGUGUUCUCAUGCUGGACCGCCAUAUUGGUGAUCUUGGGAGAUUCCAUCUCUCUGGGUUUGCAUUUCUCCACGUGUAUUUCCAGUGGUGCCUACUGACAUGUGGAUAUGAUGAUUCCAGGUAAGGUGUUCAAUAUGUGGUUCCUCAGGCCCAAACCCUUAGCACACUGUUGACUCUCACACCUUAUAUCCAUCAGCAAUUCCUGCAGCUCUACCUGUGUUUUGCUGUUUACCUUCUCCGCUGCCCCACCCUCGCCAAAGACCAUCUUUCCUCCUCUGGGCUGUUGUAAUGGUUUCCUAAUUGGUCUUCCUUCUUCUGCCCUUGCCUUGCUCCUUCUGACUUCUCUCAGAACAGCCAGAGCACAGCACUCCUUUGCUCAAACCCUCCUCUGGCCUCAGUAAAACCAAUCUUACCUACAGUACCUGCAGAACCCCACAUAUUUGCUCCAUCCCCGCCCAAAGAUGACUGUCCUCAUCUCCCAUUGCCCCCUCUCUUGCCUGCUCCUUUCAGCCACUUGGGCCUCCUCACUAUUCCUCAAACUUACCAAACUCAUUUCUACCUCAGGCCAUUUGUACUUCCUGUUCCUUCUGCCUAGAUCACUUUCCCUUCAGAUAUCAGCAUAGUUCACUCUCUCACCUUUUAAGUGAGAUAUUCUCUGCAACCCUAUUUAAAAUUGCAUCCCCACCCAACACUCUCUACUCUCUUUCCUCGCAUUUUCCUUUUUAAGUUAGUGGUUAUCACCACCUUUCACACGAUAAAUUUUGUGUGUUUGUCUUUUUGGCCACCCAUUUCCUAUCACAUCAUGGUUAAUCUGGCACACAAAUAUUUGUUGAAGGAAUAAAUAACCCAUAAUUAUUUUCAUUUCAACAAGUUUAGAUAUGUCAGCAACAGACAAGUGUGGAAUCCUUUAAGUGAGAAGGAUUUUGGAGAAGCUGGAAAUCAGACAUACUCUCCACUGUAGCUGUAGCCCGAGACUGGAGAAACCCUUUCUAUUAAGUUCACGCUCUUGAGAUCGCCUGAGAGAUGGUGACACUCAUGAGGAAGCAAAGGGGAGACCACUGAAGUGGGACGAAGACAGGAAGGAAAACUGAAGCCCAGAGAGGUUGCUCAGUCUUCCCAGGGACACACAGUGGCAGAGGAUGUGAAGGUUUUCUCCUUGGAAUAUUUAAGAGGAAAUAUGCAUACGAAAUAUGUCAAGCCAUGACAUCAAUGUGUACCAAGGUCUGAGAAAUGGUCCCUGAUCUCAAGUGGCUUCCAAGCUUAAUGGAAAGUAAAAGAAACCCAGGAGCAGAAGGGAGCAAGAUGGCGGAGGAGUAGGAGACCUGGAUUUCGUCUGGUCUCAGGAAUUCAGCUGAA